UACGAGGGGGGCGAGCGUUGUUCGGAAUUAUUGGGCGUAAAGGGUGCGUAGGCGGUUCCGCAAGUCCUGUGUGAAAUCUUCGGGCUCAACUCGAAGUCUGCACGGGAAACUGCGGGGCUUGAGUGCGGCAGAGGAGACUGGAAUUCCUGGUGUAGCAGUGAAAUGCGUAGAUAUCAGGAGGAACACCGAUGGCGAAGGCAGGUCUCUGGGCUGACACUGACGCUCAUGUACGAAAGCGUGGGGAGCAAACAGG
rnacentral:rRNA from 1 species